CCGUAGCUCAGCUGGAUAGAGUGAUUGACUACGAAUCAAUAGGUCGCAGGUUCGAAUCCUGUCGG
rnacentral:tRNA from 1 species